rnacentral:lncRNA from 1 species
GUUCUCGAUGGUUGAGAAUUAUGACUGUUACGCCUCAUUUUAUGAGCCUCGAUACCGAAGUGUCAUCUCACCACCGAAGCCAAGAUCAAAUAGACCACUCCGACCCUCCCGAAGCUUCUCCGAAGUGAUACAUCGAUUCCUACUACUGAUGUGCCGAAGUAUCCCACCUCCGAGGUCGGGUUCAGGUGGACCCCGAUUAGAAGAUCCGCCGCCAAUUUAAGAUUUGUUCUGCAUAUAAGGUUUAAAUUGAUUUGACGUCCCCAUGAAGCUAUUUGAUGUGAUUUAUCAACUUUAUGUCAAUUCAACUCGGGGGAAACAAACUGUCCGACUACUCUACAAGCGCGGCUGAUUGACGCCUAUGAGCAGACGCUUCAUACCAUCAGAUGUAUACACGUGUUCCACAUCCCACGGUUCAUACCACCUAUAAAUACCCACAGUUUGGCAAGAGGCAAAGGUAAUGAAACUCUCAAUACAUAGCAUUCCAUAACAAGUUUAUAUAUUCUCCUCCCCCUUUAUUGAUUGAUUUGUGUAGCCCCAAGGCACUGUUCCGAUCACCCAAACAUGACUUGACCGUCGGAGUAUAUACGGCCGCCACCCCCGUCGGUUCCGGCCGUGUGCACCUGACCAUUUGUUCAUUUCGCAGGGAGGAUACGUGGAGUAGCUAUAAGUUGGCCACGUGGAGGAGCCAUUUUUGGAGGUCAACAAUUUGGCGCCGUCUGUGGGAAGCUCAUUCCCCAUUUGAAGUUUUACAUUCCCCAUCGGAGAAGACACCAGAAAACCGUUGAGUCGAGUGCCAAUCAUAUUUGAGUCGAGUCAAGCCGAGUUUGUGGUGUCAAUAAAUUAUCCAUCAACUAUUUUAAAUUAUCGUCCGAAUAUCCCAACAACAUGACAAAAUGAGCUCUGUUGGUGAGAGUUAUGUCAAUUUGCUUUGAAAUGAG